ensembl:snRNA
AAAAAGGGCAUCUGCUGUGAUUAGUUUAGUUGUACAUGAGAGAUUCUCAAAUACAGCUGUGGAAUCACUAUCAAGAGAUUUCAGAUUCAUAAUUUUUGCAAUUAGGGAUAGCUAAUGACAGAUGUUCUUGACACCGCA